UAAUUCGAUGCAACGCGAAGAACCUUACCAAGGCUUGACAUGAACCGGUAAUACCUGGAAACAGGUGCCCCGCUUGCGGUCGGUUUACAGGUGGUGCAUGGUUGUCGUCAGCUCGUGUCGUGAGAUGUUGGGUUAAGUCCCGCAACGAGCGCAACCCUCGUUCUAUGUUGCCAGCGCGUUAUGGCGGGGACUCAUAGGAGACUGCCGGGGUCAACUCGGAGGAAGGUGGGGACGACGUCAAAUCAUCAUGCCCCUUAUGUCUUGGGCUUCACGCAUGCUACAAUGGCCGGUACAAAGGGUUGCGAUACUGUGAGGUGGAGCUAAUCCCAAAAAGCCGGUCUCAGUUCGGAUUGGGGUCUGCAACUCGACCCCAUGAAGUCGGAGUCGCUAGUAAUCGCAGAUCAGCAACGCUGCGGUGAAUACGUUCCCGGGCCUUGUACACACCGCCCGUCAAGUCACGAAAGUUGGUAACACCCGAAGCCGGUGGCCUAACCCUUGUGGGGGGAGCCGUCGAAGGUGGGACUGGCGAUUGGGACUAAGUCGUAACAAGGUAGCCGUACCGGAAGGUGCGGCUGGAUCACCUCCU
rnacentral:rRNA from 1 species